rnacentral:misc_RNA from 1 species
GUUUAAAAAAGCAACGGAAGACAGCAUUUUUCUAUUCAGAACAAUUUGAAGUUAACGCUGAUCCCCCUGCUAAAUUAAAUGUCAUAAUGAAGCUAUCGGCUGGAAUAGAAUGCACCAUUGUCUGUGCUCGUCUGUUGCUCCCGAACCGUUUAUCUAAGCCCGAAAUCGAAGGAGUUGGUGGUUACAAUAUUACCAUAACUUUUAACACCCUGUGGUUUCCCUACACUUUUUACUUUUCUUUGGGAUUAAAUGGAAAAAAUAC